rnacentral:rRNA from 1 species
GACGAACGCUGGCGGCGUGCUUAACACAUGCAAGUCGAGCGGUAAGGCCUCUUCGGGGGUACACGAGCGGCGAACGGGUGUGUAACACGUGGGUGACCUGCCCUCAGCUCUGGGAUAAGCCUGGGAAACUGGGUCUAAUUCCGGCAAUGACCUUUCCUCGCAUGGGGUUUGGUGGUAAGUGUUUUCGGCUUGGGAUGGGCCCGCGGCCUAUCAGCUUGUUGGUGGGGUGAUGGCCUACCAAGGCGACGACCGGUAGCCGGCCUGAGAGGGCGACCGGCCAAACUCGGACGGAGACACGGGCCAGGAUUCUACGGGAAGCGGCAGAGGGGUGUAUUAGGCAAGGGGCGGAAGUGAGGAGGGGCGACGGCGCGUAGAGGAUGACGGGCUGCGGGGUAUAAACCUCUUUCGACCCCGACGAAUUUUGACGGUAGGGGUAGAAGAAGCACCGGCUAACUACGUG